rnacentral:tRNA from 1 species
GGCCCAGUGGGCUAGCGGUAGCGGUCGCCACGCUCUCACUGUGGAGAACGCGGGCUCGAAUCCUGCCUAGGUUG